rnacentral:rRNA from 1 species
AGAUUGAACGCUGGCGGCAGGCCUAACACAUGCAAGUCGAGCGGUAGAGAGGUGCUUGCACCUCUUGAGAGCGGCGGACGGGUGAGUAAUGCCUAGGAAUCUGCCUAGUGGUGGGGGAUAACGUUCGGAAACGGACGCUAAUACCGCAUACGUCCUACGGGAGAAAGCGGGGGACCUUCGGGCCUCGCGCCAUUAGAUGAGCCUAGGUCGGAUUAGCUAGUUGGUGAGGUAAUGGCUCACCAAGGCGACGAUCCGUAGCUGGUCUGAGAGGAUGAUCAGCCACACUGGAACUGAGACACGGUCCAGACUCCUACGGGAGCAGCAGGUGGGGAAUA